rnacentral:rRNA from 1 species
CAAUAGCGUAUAUUAAAGUUGUUGCAGUUAAAAAGCUCGUAGUUGGAUUUCUGGUGGGAGCGAUCGGUCUGGCGCUUAGCGCGAGUACUUGCAUCGUCUCCGGCCAUCCUUGGGGAGAGUUUGUCUGGCAUUAAGUUGUCGGGCAGAGGAUCCUCAUCGUUUACUGUGAAAAAUUAGAGUGUUCAAAGCAGGCUUAUGCCGUUGAAUAUAUUAGCAUGGAAUAAUAAGAUAGGACUUUGGUACUAUUUUGUUGGUUUGCGCACCAAAGUAAUGAUUAAUAGGGACAGUUGGGGGUAUUCGUAUUCCGUUGUCAGAGGUGAAAUUCUUGGAUUUACGGAAGACGAACUACUGCGAAAGCAUUUACCAAGGAUGUUUUCAUUAAUCAAGAACGAAAGUUAGGGGAUCGAAGACGAUCAGAUACCAU